ACAGCAGCAGCCACGGGAAUACAGAGGGUGCGAGCGUUAAUCGGAUUUACUGGGCGUAAAGCGUGCGUAGGCGGUUUUUUAAGUCGGAUGUGAAAUCCCUGAGCUUAACUUAGGAAUUGCAUUCGAUACUGGGAAGCUAGAGUAUGGGAGAGGAUGGUAGAAUUCCAGGUGUAGCGGUGAAAUGCGUAGAGAUCUGGAGGAAUACCGAUGGCGAAGGCAGCCAUCUGGCCUAAUACUGACGCUGAGGUACGAAAGCAUGGGGAGCAAACAGGAUUAGAUACCCCCGUAGUCCCUGUCUCUUAUAA
rnacentral:rRNA from 1 species